rnacentral:sRNA from 1 species
GUAUCACGCCGAAGACAGCAGGUGCCGUAAGGCAUAAGGCAAGUACGCCUGCCGAGGAAAAUACAUUCUUAAUGAAGAAUUGAUCUCCUCUUUGCUGCGUGCAGAGAGGCUUUUUUCAUAU